UAGAAUGUGUUACACACAGUGUGGGCAGUGAAAUCAUCGUGAUGUGAUUCUGAAGUUUGUUCCUGGCUCCCUCUUUUCUUUGGCCCUCCUGAAGAAUGUGUGAGGUUACUUCUGGUUUCAAAUGCAGCAAUCACAACAAAAUUUAAUGCCUGAGGACUCCAUAAUAGAUUAUCUCGUCCCGCACUACUAUGCCAGAGGAGGAAAUGAUCCAGACAACUCAGAUUUUAAUGUAACUGAAAUAAGCACAAACUUACACAUUAGGGCUGAUGUAUUACAAUAGGGUACCCAUGGACAAUAAUACUGGGUCAAAUUCAUCCACUUCAUGUGGACAGCUUGAGUCUCCAAAAGAAUGCGACAAUACAUUCAAAGAAUAUAAACGCUGGAAUCAGUUCUUGCUAGCAACACGAGCCAGCAAUGUAUUAUGUGAAACUGCAUCCAAAAAAAAAAUAAAGCUACAAAGUCAUAAAAAUAGCCCUGAGAAUAACUAAUUUAAACAGCGUAAGUAAACAGUUUUCUUGAGGAAGGUAAUCGGGUGGCUGGAACACAGGAGACACCCUGCAAGUCAAACAAGCUUAAUCAAAACAAGAGCAAAAAACCCUAUAAAACCCCUAAUCUGACAAGUCUGAAGUCAAGCCACAUACUGCCACAUCUCAAGGGCUUCUUCCCCAUCCUUAUCUAUCAUAGGCUGGGCCAGGCCAGGCAGUUUUCUAAAAAAUCUCUGCCUUAGGAAACUAGUAAGUCAGAUAAAAAGUCAAUCAACGUCUCUCACUUUCCUUCUACACUUCUGUGAUUCUGGAGGUGGGACUCUGCCAGGGGCUCCUAGUUUAAGUCUGCAGAUAAGGGGGUGUUAAGGGAAAACUGCGAGAGAGGACAGUGCUGUCUCCCCUCUCAUGGGUGCAUCAGCAGAUUUUUUUUUUUUUUUUUUUUUUUGAGACGGAGUGUCGCCCUGUCGCCCAGGCUGGAGUGCAGUGGCGCAAUCUCGGCUCACUGCAAGCUCCGCCUCCCGGGUUCACGCCAUUCUCCUGCCUCAGCCUCUCUGAGUAGCUGGGACUACAGGCGUCCGCCACCACGCCCGGCUAAUUUUUUUGUAUUUUUAGUAGAGACAGGGUUUCACCGUGGUCUCUCGAUCUCCUGACCUCAUGAUCCGCCCGCCUCGGCCUCCCAAAGUGCUGGGAUUACAAGCGUGAGCCACCGCGCCCGGCCCUGAUUUUUUUUUUUUUUUUAAGCUCAUCGGCUAUCAUUAGUGUUAGUGUAUUUUAUGUGCGGCCUAAGACAAUUCUUUUUUUUUUCUUUUGUCGCCCAGACUGGAGUGCAGUGGCACGAUCUCGGCUCACUGCAGCCUCUGCUUCCCAGGUUGAAGCAAUUCUCCUACCUCAGCCUCCCAAGUAGCUGGGAUUACAGGCGUGUGCCACCAAACCGGCUAAUUUUUGUAUUUUUAGUAGAGACAGGGUUUCACCAUGUUGGCCAGGCUGGUCUCGAGCUCCUGACCUCAAGGGAUCGGCCCGCCUCGGCCUCCCAAAGGGCUGGGAUUACAGACGUGAGCCACCGUGCCCAGCCAUAAGACAAUUCUUAUUCCAAUGCGGCCCAGGGAAGCCAAAAGGUUGGAAACCCCUGUUCUAAAGCAAUGCAGGCUUCAAAUGUGACUAGUUUUAUGAGAGCCAAUACAGAUUACCUAUCUCCUAAAAAUUCUACCUUGCUUCCCUUCAGCACUGUCAUUUUUUAAAAGAUUUUAUUUAGAAAACACUUCAGCUAAAAUAUUUACAAAGGAAUGAAGUACUAAUACAUGCUACAAUAUACAUGAACCUUGAAAACAUGCUAAAUGAAAGAAGCCAGAAAGACAAGGCCACAUAUUGUAUAAUUCCAUUUAUAUGAAGUGUGUAAAAUAGGAAAAUCCAUAGAAUUGGAAAGCAGAUAAAUGGUUGCCAGGGGUUGAAGGUAGAGUGACUGCUAAUGGGCACAGGGUUUUUCUUUUUGGGGUGACAAAAAUCUUCUAAUUAGCAAGUGAUGAUGAUGUACUGCUUUGUGAAUACAUGAAAAACCAUUCAACUGUACACUCUGAGUGGGUGAAUUUUAUGGUAUGAGAAUUAUACUUCAAAAAAAUAAAUGAAGCAUGAGUUUCCCUUCAAUAUUCAGUGAGAUUUUGGAAUCUUACCGAUGAAUUAGAGAUUGGAAUAGUAAAAGUAAGUGAAGAGAAAAUAAUUUAUUAAUAUCUAUUACUUGACUAUUUAGUAUAUAACAUAUUCACAGCAUGUUAACAGAGUUUUCAGUUUUUUGAGACAGGAUCUUCUCUGUCGCCCAGCCUGAAGUAUAGUGGCACAAUCUUGGCUCACUGCCGCCUCAACCUCGCAGACUCAAGUGAUCCACCCAUUUCAUCCUCCCAACUAGUAGCUGGGACUACAGACGUGUGCCACCACACAUGGCUAAUUUUUGUAUUUUUUUGUAGACAUGGGACUUCUUCAUGUUGCUCAGGCUGUUCUCGAAUUCUUGGGCUCAAGCAACCCACCUGCUUCGGCCUCCCAAAGUGCUGGGAUCACAGACAUGAGCCACCGCACCCAGCCAACAGAAUUUUUAGUAAUGAAUAUAUAUUCAUGAACUACACUUCUGAAGAAAAGAAACUUCAAAUUAAAAGAUUACUUUUGAAGCUAAGUAUCUGUGAUCCAAGCAUAGACAUGCUGACUCAAGUUACACAGUCUUAGCUCAAAUAUCUCCUGGGUCUGGUAUGUCUAACCUAGAAUGACAUUCUACUCCCCCUUUUCUACUUAUGCUUCAAAAUUCAGCUCAAAUAUCACCCUCUAAAAACCUUUCCCUAAACCAAUCUUGAGGAUUUUCCAGGCCAGUCUGUCAUUUCUUUGGUGUUCCCAUUGAUGCCUUUCUAUUCUAUAUACAAAGCAGCGCUAGCUGUAUGA